rnacentral:lncRNA from 1 species
AUUUAGUAUUAUUCAGCUUAAAGAAAUGGUAUCGUGGAGAACCGAGUUCGGGUUUCAAGUAUCCGGAUUUGGGAUCGCCACAGCGAUGCUGUGAUUGAGCAUCACGUCGCUGUGAAUUACUCUGGAUGGCUGUAUGAGAUGCGACAGAAGGCAGCCUGGGCAGUUGUGGACCAGCCCGGGACCACCAUAAGAGAUCAUCAGCCCCGCAUAGUCUCCGAUUUAGCCUGGGAGGCUAUGUGUGUGCACUAGGAGGCUGAUGACUUCAAGAAAAAGUUCGAGCAGGCGAAGAAGAACCGUGGUUAGCUCCGAAUAGUACACACCACUGGUUCUCAGUCGUUCGAGGAGGCGAAGACGGUAAGUGCGUUGUAUUUAGUUAUUUAUGUGUCAAGUUCUCACACAAAUACUUAAGACCUGUUUUAUGAUUGUUUGUAUUAGGGAUUGGGGAGGACCUUGGGCCGUGAUCCUACCAUUCUAUAGUUUUGGGAUCGAGCCCACACGCCUAAGGACGAGCGUGCUUUGUCUCAGGCAGCUUUAUCUAUACGGGUAAAACUCAUCUAACUAUUUAGCUUUUAAUAAUAUUCAAUCGUAACUAAAAUGAUAUAAUUAACAUACGUAUACGGAAUACAUUACAUGACCGAUUUCAGAGGCUUCGGGACGAGCGUAUAGCUGAGCUGGAGACUAUUAGGAGGGGUUCUGAGCCGUUACAUUCCGCCACCCCUCUUCCCGAUAUUGUAUUAGAUCGGGAUGAGGAGCUGAGACUAUGGGUCGCGUCUCAGGAUCCCCCUACUAGCAGUACCGACAGAUAUCGAGUGUUGGGUCUGCCGAGGAUACCCGCAUAUACACUUCCUGGAGGUAAUAUUUUUUAAUGUUUCAUGAAAUUAUCCGAAUUUAUCACAUUAUAUAAAUUAUUAUUAGUAAUCGAAUUUGUAUCUCUUUAUAGGCUCCAGUCAGCGCCAGCGUCCGAGAGCACAUGUCGGACCAUCUCAUACGGGCGCUGGCUUGGAUGACGAUAUCUUCCGACGGCUGAUAGGGGCCGUGUCGGAUAGGUUCCAUACUGAUCCAGUUUUUCAGCGUCAGCAGUUGCCUUCCAAUUCUCAUCUUCACCAGAUUUCUCAGGAUAUUAUAGCAAGGGCCUCUGCAGAAAGUACAAGAUUACCACGGAAGCAGUUCGACACUUGGAGCGCCGAGAUACUCCGGAUAGUGAUUACCCUCUUGGAGGAGGCUUUUCGUCCACCCCCACCUACUCAGGUAUUCUUAUUGUUUAUGUUUUUCAAUUAAGGCUAGUUUGUUAAUUCUCUCUCUCUCACACACACACACACAUAUAUAUAUAUUUAUAUAUGGACUAAUGAUUUAUAUUUUUGAUUCUAUCAACAGGGUGGCGAUGGCGACCAGGCUUGCGAUGAUGAACAGGAGCACGAGUCUGACAUCCAUACACCAGAGCAGCGUCGUUCACCUCCGCUCGAUGACGAUCAUACUUUUACUAGUUUAUAGUUCAUUUGUAUAUAUUCAUGUUAUUGGUAGACCCUUUUGUAUAUAUUGUAUUGUCUAAUUGCGCCUGUACAACUAUUGUAAAUUAUAUUGUUUAACAUUUAUGGUCAAUUAAUUAUAUUUGUAAUUGGUUAGCUUAUAAUACGUUUUGGUGGAUAUUUGAAUGUGAAUGUGAAUGAUAAUGAGUUGAAG